GAUUCUAGUUUUUGGUGUUUUGAUUGUUUGGGUUAUUGUGUUUAUUUUAAGCUGUAAAAUAAAGAUUUGUGUAAAAUUAGAUUGAUAAGUAAGGGAGAUAAAUAAACGACCACAAAUCUUGGGUAUGAAAUAUUUUUGAUUAUUGAUGUUAGCACAAUAUAGAUAGUAGUAUCAAGAGAAUUAUGUGUUGAUUGUUUCUUACGAAUCAAUGAGGAGACGGAUAACAACUCGAAUUGUUUCUUUGGAGAGGUCAGAGCCCUGGACAUAACGGAUUUGUCCAACCACAUCUGCAAUAUUUAAUAUCAGUUAUGAUAUCAAAACAUAAUAUAAACCCAAAUGCAAUAUGAUAAUAUACUUGGGAGUUCUAGGUUUGUGUUCGCAAUCACUUGGAGAUUUCGAACAGUCUAAUUUUUACUGGAGAUUGAUCUCAAGAGCGCCCGUGAUGACUUCAUCAAUAAUGUUCAGGGAAUCCCAAAAGUGGAGGAAGCCAGAGGCUAUGCUCUGACUACUACGACCAAGACGGAGAGACUCGAAGGUUGAGUGACAGACGCCGGGACGCCGGUUUGAGGAAGUGGAGAGUCAGAGAGAAAGCUAAGAGGAAUCAAUGAGCUUUGUGGAGGUGCAUAUUAGGUUCAUCAAAGAUGAGAAUCAUAUAUAGGGUUUACAAAGGAGCUACAAAUAAAGAACAUUUAUGAUCAAGCGAUUUAAGAUGGGGACAUGAAGAGUUCACCGGUGAAAAAAUAGAUUACGAACAGACACACGGCACAACUCUGUAGAUCACACUUGUUGAGACAAUGAUGAAAAGAACUCUGACUCAUGUUAAACGACAACAAUUUACAAUAUGGAAAAACUAUAAUUGUUGCAAACUUGAGCUUUUUUCAUAUAAUGUGAUGAAUCUCAUUUAAAAAUGAAACCCAUAAUACCCUUGUAGGCCCGACCCUCAGAGAAGUCGAAGAAGCAAAGGCUUCUGACCUUCAUAAAUAUGUAUUAGGUUCGACCAUCAAUGUACAAAGUAUCAUUUAACUUAGUGGUAUAAAUGUUGGUGUUUAUACUCAAUAAGCUGGGUUCAAGCCAUGAGCUUGACACUUUUUCACACUUUUUAAAAGUGAGACCCACAAAACGCUGACAUGGCACGCUGAGGAGUGAGCAAAAACUUAACUAUUAUAAUAUAGAUUUCUUUUCUUUUUUUAAUGAAAUUUAAAAUUUAUUAAUCAUGUAAGAACUAUUUACAAAAAAAUUAAAGAAUCAAAAUAGUGGAGUGUAGUCUUUAGCCAAAAGAAUUAAGAACUAUGUUCAUUGUUGAGCUACUUAUAAUAUUUCAAAAUGUAAUCAUUUAAAAUGUUUUAUACAUUUGUAAAGCCAUAUUUCUUAUCUUUUUGAAAUAUCCACCUUACAUACUUUCAUGUGGACAACUAUAUCUGACUGUGUACGUGUACAAGAUAUAUCUGAGUGUACAAUCUUCUUCUUGAUGAGUCA